UCUCUUACCCAUGUCUUUUGAGUACCUUACGUUUCCUCGGCGGGUCCGCCCGCCGACUGGACAAUUUAAACCACUUGCAGUUGCAAUCAGCGUCUGAAAAAACUUAAUAGUUACAACUUUCAACAACGGAUCUCUUGGUUCUGGCAUCGAUGAAGAACGCAGCGAAAUGCGAUAAGUAGUGUGAAUUGCAGAAUUCAGUGAAUCAUCGAAUCUUUGAACGCACAUUGCGCCCCUUGGUAUUCCAUGGGGCAUGCCUGUUCGAGCGUCAUUUGUACCUUCAAGCCUUGCUUGGUGUUGGGUGUUUGUCUCGCCUCUGCGCGUAGACUCGCCUCAAAACAAUUGGCAGCCGGCGUAUUGAUUUCGGAGCGCAGUACAUCUCGCGCUUUGCACUCAGAACGACGACGUCCAAAAGUACAUUUUUACACUCUUGACCUCGGAUCAGGUAGGGAUACCCGCUGAACUUAAGCAUAUCAAUAAGCGGAGGAAAAGAAACCAACAGGGAUUGCCCUAGUAACGGCGAGUGAAGCG
rnacentral:rRNA from 1 species